rnacentral:rRNA from 1 species
UACGAAGGGGGCUAGCGUUGCUCGGAAUCACUGGGCGUAAAGCGCACGUAGGCGGAUUGCUAAGUCAGGGGUGAAAUCCUGGAGCUCAACUCCAGAACUGCCCUUGAUACUGGCGGUCUCGAGUCCGGGAGAGGUGAGUGGAACUGCGAGUGUAGAGGUGAAAUUCGUAGAUAUUCGCAAGAACACCAGUGGCGAAGGCGGCUCACUGGCCCGGUACUGACGCUGAGGUGCGUAAGCGUGGGGAGCAAACA